GUGCCAGCAGCCGCGGUAAUACGUAGGGUGCAAGCGUUGUCCGGAAUUAUUGGGCGUAAAGAGCUCGUAGGCGGUUUGUCGCGUCUGCUGUGAAAACGCGAGGCUCAACCUCGCGCCUGCAGUGGGUACGGGCAGACUAGAGUGCGGUAGGGGAGAUUGGAAUUCCUGGUGUAGCGGUGGAAUGCGCAGAUAUCAGGAGGAACACCGAUGGCGAAGGCAGAUCUCUGGGCCGUAACUGACGCUGAGGAGCGAAAGCGUGGGGAGCGAACAGGAUUAGAUACCCUGGUAGUCC
rnacentral:rRNA from 1 species